GAUGAACGCUGGCGGCGUGCCUAAUACAUGCAAGUCGAGCGAACAGAUAAGGAGCUUGCUCCUUUGACGUUAGCGGCGGACGGGUGAGUAACACGUGGGUAACCUACCUAUAAGACUGGAAUAACUCCGGGAAACCGGGGCUAAUGCCGGAUAACAUUUAGAACCGCAUGGUUCUAAAGUGAAAGAUGGUUUUGCUAUCACUUAUAGAUGGACCCGCGCCGUAUUAGCUAGUUGGUAAGGUAACGGCUUACCAAGGCAACGAUACGUAGCCGACCUGAGAGGGUGAUCGGCCACACUGGAACUGAGACACGGUCCAGACUCCUACGGGAGGCAGCAGUAGGGAAUCUUCCGCAAUGGGCGAAAGCCUGACGGAGCAACGCUGCGUGAGUGAUGAAGGUCUUCGGAUCGUAAAACUCUGUUAUUAGGGAAGAACAAAUGUGUAAGUAACUGUGCACGUCUUGACGGUACCUAAUCAGAAAGCCACGGCUAACUACGUG
rnacentral:rRNA from 1 species